rnacentral:rRNA from 1 species
AUUGAACGCUGGCGGCAGGCCUAACACAUGCAAGUCGAGCGAGCGGCGGACGGGUGAGUAAUGUAUGGGGUCUGCCCGAUAUAGGGGGAUAACUACUGGAAACGGUGGCUAAUCCCGCAUUCUGUCGCGUAUCCCAUAUGGGAUUCGCUAGUAGUUUAGGUAAUGGCUUACCUGGGCGACGAUCCCUAGCUGGUCUGAGAGGAUGAUCAGCCACACUGGGACUGAGACACGGCCCAGACUCCUACGGAGGCAGCAGUGGGGAAUAUUGCACAAUGGGCGCAAGCCUGAUGCAGCCAUGCCGCGUGGAUGAAGAAGGCCCUAGGGUUGUAAAGUACUUUCAGUCGGGAGGCGUUACCGACAGAAGAAGCACCGGCUAACUCCGUGCCAGCAGCCGCGGUAAUAC